rnacentral:rRNA from 1 species
GACGAACGCUGGCGGCGUGCCUAAUACAUGCAAGUAGAACGCACAGUUUAUACCGUAGUUUGCUACACCAUAGACUGUGAGUUGCGAACGGGUGAGUAACGCGUAGGUAACCUGCCUGGUAGCGGGGGAUAACUAUUGGAAACGAUAGCUAAUACCGCAUAAUAUUAAUUAUUGCAUGAUAAUUGAUUGAAAGAUGCAACUGCAUCACUACCAGAUGGACCUGCGUUGUAUUAGCUAGUAGGUGAGGUAACGGCUCACCUAGGCGACGAUACAUAGCCGACCUGAGAGGGUGAUCGGCCACACUGGGACUGAGACACGGCCCAGACUCCUACGGGGGCAGCAGUAGGGAAUCUUCGGGCAAUGGAGAAAGUCUGACCGAGCAACGCCCCGUGAGUGAAGAAGGUUUUCGGAUCGUAAGCUCUGUUGUAAGAGAAGAACGGGUGUGAGAGUGGAAAGUUCACACUGUGACGGUAUCUUACCGAAAGGACGGCUAACUACGUGCAGCGGCCGGGUAAUACGUAGGUUCGAGCUUGUUGGAUUUAUUGGGCGUAAGGGAGGGCAGGCGGUAGAUUAGUCUAAGGUUAAAGGCUGU